rnacentral:lncRNA from 1 species
AAAGAAGGGAUAAAGGCUCAAAUUUAGUUCAAAAGGGGUUAUGAAGUGUAUUGAGGAUGAUAGGUGAAUGAAAACCAAGUAUUCAAGUUGAACCAACACAAUAUAAGUGUGUUAACCCGGGACUUAUACGAAUACUUAGGAAAGGUUAAAUGUUGUAUGGAUGGAAAAUGAAUAAAAUGGAACCUUGACCCACUAUCAAAGAUGAUAGGAACCUCGGUAUAACUUGAACGCCACACUUUGGAUGCAAAGUGAUAAGUUCGGAUAAGAAGAAUGGGUUGACGCCACAAGGGUUACUUGAUAAGUCAAACGAGUCUUUGG